rnacentral:misc_RNA from 1 species
AUACCUCAAAACCUUUUCCUUCGAUCCUCGGUCGGGAAAAAGGAUUUUGGACUUGGAGGUUUUGUGCUCGCAUUCGCUUUCGAAAGCGAGCUCCUCUCAAAUGAAUCAGUGGGGUCCGCAUUGCUGAUCCUUGACGUGAUAAGAUGUUUCUUACGUUUUGGAUUCAACACUGUCCUGCUUCUAACCGUCUCAUGGACAAAUGAUGGUGAUCCGGUCACCGCCACCUACAUCGGCGGGAGGCUGGACCCACAAAAACAAA